UACGGGGGGAGCAAGCGUUGUUCGGAUUUACUGGGCGUAAAGGGCGCGUAGGCGGUCAGCACAAGUCAGUUGUGAAAUCUCCGGGCUUAACUCGGAAAGGUCAACUGAUACUGUGCGACUAGAGUGCGGAAGGGGCAACUGGAAUUCUCGGUGUAGCGGUGAAAUGCGUAGAUAUCGAGAGGAACACCUGCGGCGAAGGCGGUUCUCUGGGACGGUACUGACGCUGAGGAGCGAAAGCGUGGGGGAGCGAACAGG
rnacentral:rRNA from 1 species